AGCUGCUGGGAAACAGUCGACCCCAGAUCAGCACUGGUUUCUAUUUUGUUUAGAAGGAUGCUGAAAUGAAUUGAUUUUUAAGUUUGACUGGAUGCUGGUACAUUAUCCUGCAGUGUAGCCAUCACUGUUUAAAAGCCCAUUUAGUUCCAGCCCAUGACUAUUAACGAAAACCUAGAUGAAAUGGUCUUCACAAGAAGUAGACCACAAAAUCUAAUAAAAGCUUUGUCUUUUAUGUCAUAUGAUCCUGUAAGAUGGACAGCCUUUGGUAAUGAAGGCAGGGUUUCAUGAAGCCUUCAACUCCUGAUCUUCCUUCUUUUACCUUCCAAGUUCUUGGUAUCAGGCAUGAGGCUAUCAACUGGCUACUCAUCUUAGGAGCAUCAAAUGACCAAGGAGCUUGCCAACACUGACUAAAACCUUCCUGGCUUUCUCUAUCCCAGGGAAUAAUGGGAAUUUCUUGUGAUGAAUGCAGAAGAUCCAGCAAUCCCUCUCCUGGGCAUAUAUCCAGAAGAUGUUCCAACUUGUAAUAAGGACACAUGCUCCACUAUGUUAAUAGCAGCCUUAUUUAUAAUAGCCAGAAGCUGGAAAGAACAUAGAUGUCCCUCAACAGAGGAAUGGAUGCAGAAAAUGUGGUGCAUUUACACAAUGGAGUACUACUCAGCAAUUAAAAACAACGAAUUCAUGAAAUUCUUAGGCAAAUGGAUGGGUCUGGAGGAUAUCAUCCUGAGUGAGGUAACUCAAUCACAAAAGACCUCACAUGCUAUGCACUCACUGAUAAGUGGAUAUUAGCCCAGAAACUUAGAAUACCCAAGAUGCAAUUUGCAAAAUACAUGAAACUCAAGAAGAAGGAAGAUCAAAGUGUGGCUACUUCACUCCUUCUUAGAAUGGGGAACAAAACACCCAUGGAAGGAGUUACAGAGACAAUGUUCGGAGCUAAGAUGGAAGGAAGGACCAUCCAGAGACUGCCCCACCCAGGGAUUCAUCCCAUAUAGAACCACCAAACUCAGACACUAUUGCAUAUGCCAGAAAGAUUUUGCUGACAGGACCUUGAUAUAGCUAUCUCUUAUGAGGCUAUGCCAGUGCCUGGCAAAUACAGAAGUGGAUGCUCACAGUCAUCUAUUGGAUGGAACACAGGGCCCAUAAUGAAGGAGCCAGAGAAAGUACCCAAGGAGCUAAAGGGGGUCUGCAACCAUAUAGGAGGAACAACAAUAUGAACUAUCCAUACCCCCCAGAACUGUGUCUCUUGUUGCAUAUGUAGCAGAGGAUGGUCUAGUUGGCCAUCAAUGGGAGGAGAGCCCCUUGGUCUUGUGAAGACCAUAUGCCCUUUUGAACUCAGGGAAGAAGCAUCCAGUUGGCUGGGUGGUCUAACCUAGUCCAAAAGUUGUAAUGGGCUGGCUCCAUUAUGGGCAGUGAGUAGUCAGUUUCUGUUUCUUGUAGCCUUUAUAGAGCUGGCCCUGGGGAAAGUGGCUAGCUGGGGACAGAUGUUGCCACAGUAGGAUGAGGGCAAACUCUGGGACUAGGUCUAUAGUGCUCUAGAUUAGUCAGCCUGGUAUAUUUCUCUAAGUAUGAGCUUCUCCUGUAAUAACUGGUGAAAAUCUCAGUCUUUUUUCAAAAGAAAAGCACAUGUAAACACUGGGGCAAUGCUGUCUUUUGUGGUGGUAGGUCACUACUUACAUAUAGUACUUACACAUAGAAAUACUGUGUGAAGUGGGCUGUGUAUGCAUGAAAAUGUGUGUAUUUAUAUAAGUACAGGCAUCUACUCAUACAUGAAUAAUGUUGAUACAUGUCUGCUUCAUAAAUCAGCCUGUUCAUUCUGAUUUAGAGGAAAGAGAUUUUUUAAAUGUAUCAUUUGAUACUGAGAAGAAAACAUUAAGCUCAGUCUUUUCUCUUUCUUAAUCUCCAGAGCAGUAAGUAUAGACCAACAGUGUAAUGCAAUGGUGUGAAGAGAGAACUAUCAAUACACAGAGGACAACACCCACACACAAAUAUAUAUCCAGCCACACUUGUGCCACAACAGUUUAAAUAAUGAGGAAAACUCCAGUGGCAACAAGGACAGUAGGCAUCCAGAGCUCUUGCUUUUCUGGUAUCAAUCUAUUAUGAGUUGGUGCAAUGGCUUUGUCACACUCCAAGAAUAUACUAAAGUUGACAAUAUACACAUCUUAUAAUGCAGCCAUUGCAGUCUUUGAAAUAAACUCUCCAGGAAGUUUGCACCAAAACAUUCAAAAGCCUACACCGUACUCACCUACAGAGUCUGACAAAGCCAAGGGGAGAAGGUCUGGAGAAUGGCAAAUGUAACUGCAGUACAGACUUACAGUAGACAGCACCAACAGCAUGAGACCUACAGUGAUCUUAAUCUCAUCAACAGUACUGAGUGAAGGGAAACGCACAGGGUGGCUAGGGCAUAUGUCAGUCUAUGGUGCAUAAGAAGCAUUCACAGUGCCCUGAGUUCAUUCCCAUGCAACCAGCAACCGCAAUGGCAACAAGAUGCAGGUGAGUGUAUGUUGUCUGACUCUGUUCCAAGAAAACAUAGAACCUGGCAAAACUCUUUCUGCUGUUCAAAGUCAGAACACUGCUCCUGGUGCUUCUACUGCCGUGAUAAACAGCAUGGCAAUGGCAGCUCAGAGCCGGGAGGAUUUAUUUUCAUUUAUAUCUCAAUUAUAGUCCAUCAUGAAGGAAAGUCAGGGAAGAAACUCAAGGAAGGGACCCAAAGGCAGGAACUGAAGCAGGGACCAUAAAAGAACUCUGCUUAUUACUGGAUUCCUCCCCGAGGCUUGUUCAGCCUGCCUUUCUUUAAAAAAUGUACAUUGGUGUUUUGCUUGCAUGUAUGAAUGUGUGGGGGUCUCAGAUCCCCUGGAACUGGACUUGCAGAUAGUUGUAAGCUGCCACGCAGGUACUGGGAAUCAAACCCCAUCCUCUGAAAGAGUAGGCAGAGCUCUGAACUGCUGAGCCAUCUCUCCAACCCCUUCAGCCUGCUUUUUAAAAUAGAAACAGGACCACUAGUUGAGGGGUGACACCACUCACAGUGCCCUUGGCCCUCCAGCAUCAAUCACAUUCUAUGGAUUUGUCUACAGGCAUUUCCUAGCCUGUGAAUCCCUCUUCCCAAUUUACUCUAACCUAUGUCAAGUUAACAUCAAGUUAACCAUCACACCAAUAGUGGAGGAUUCUGGGUACUUGAUUUGGAUGCUUUUAUGUAGAUGUUUCAGUCUAUAAAAAGGUAUCAAACAGCAUAUACACUUGUUUGUCACAUGCCAUACACAUUCUUUUAAAAGCUCAAUGUAAAUAGCAAGACUGGAGUAAGAUAUGCUACCAUGGUGGAAGGAGCUUAACAAAGAUUAGGUUGCUUUCGUUUGCCAGGUCACAGUCACCUGUGAUGUCCACAGAAACAAUAAGGCAGGUAAACAGCCUGCCUUGGCAGCAGAUUCUGACCGUAACAGCCUGUGCUUCACAAUGUAAACACUCUCUUGCUUCCUUUCCCACAUUUAAAUAUCUCUCUAAGGUUUGCUACAACUUGUUUACUUUAUCCCAGCAAUGGUUUUGACCCUGUGGUCAAAGGAGUAGUAGGCAUCAUGGAAGAGCUACUUUUAAAAAAUGAUAAC
ensembl:antisense